GACGAACGCGUGGCGGCGUGGAUUAGGCAUGCAAGUCGAACGGUAUCAUCCUUUCGGGGGUGAGAGAGUGGCGAACUGGUGAGUAACACGUAGGUUAUCUACCUCAAGACGGGGACAACCCAGGGAAACUUGGGCUAAUACCGGAUGUGAGCAACUUUUAGUUGUUUGAAAGGUGGCGUAAGCUGUCGCUUGGGGAUGAGCCUGCGUCCUAUUAGUUAGUUGGUGAGGUAACGGCUCACCUAGGCAAUGAUAGGUAGGCGGCCUUAACGGGUGGUCGCCCACACUGGGAUUGAGAUACGGCCCAGACUCCUACGGGAGGCAGCAGUCGAGAAUAGUCUACAAUGGUCGGAAGACUGAUAGUGCGACGCCGCGUGAACGAUGAAUCCCUUCGGGGUGUAAAGUUCUUUUAUAUGUGAGCAGUGCUUCUUAUAUUAACAGUAUGGGGAGAGAGAUAUUAGCAUAUGAAUAAGCAACGGCUAACUCCGUG
rnacentral:rRNA from 1 species